UUUUUGCGUGAGGGAUAGCAGCGAAAAUCCUUUUUUAGUGAUUGUAGCUUCAGCGGAAAUUAAUAUAAAAGAUUGCAGUGAAUAGCCCGACCCGAA
rnacentral:sRNA from 1 species